rnacentral:rRNA from 1 species
UACGUAGGGUGCGAGCGUUAAUCGGAAUUACUGGGCGUAAAGCGUGCGCAGGCGGUUCGUUGUGUCGGCGGUGAAAGCCCCGGGCUUAACCUGGGAAUGGCCGUUGAAACUGGCGAACUGGAGUGUGGCAGAGGGGGGUGGAAUUCCGCGUGUAGCAGUGAAAUGCGUAGAGAUGCGGAGGAACACCGAUGGCGAAGGCAGCCCCCUGGGCUGACACUGACGCUCAGGCACGAAAGCGUGGGGAGCAAACAGA